UCUCGAUUGGUCUAGUGGUCAGGAUACCUGCUUGUCAUCACACUACGGUCUAGUUCACCACGAUGGUCCACUGGACAUUUAGUAGUAGUCAUGAAAAUUCGCAGGUGGCCGGGGUUCGAUUCCCCGAUCGAGAG